AGCAUAUCAAUAAGCGGAGGAAAAGAAACCAACAGGGAUUGCCCUAGUAACGGCGAGUGAAGCGGCAACAGCUCAAAUUUGAAAUCUGGCGCAAGCCCGAGUUGUAAUUGGUAGAGGAUGCUUCAGGGCAGCGGCCGGUCUAAGUUCCUUGGAACAGGACGUCGUAGAGGGUGAGAAUCCCGUAUGCGACCGGUUGGCACCCGUCACGUAGCUCCUUCGACGAGUCGAGUUGUUUGGGAAUGCAGCUCUAAAUGGGAGGUAAAUUUCUUCUAAAGCUAAAUACCGGCCAGAGACCGAUAGCGCACAAGUAGAGUGAUCGAAAGAUGAAAAGCACUUUGGAAAGAGAGUUAAAAAGCACGUGAAAUUGUUGAAAGGGAAGCGCAUGCCACCAGACUUGUCGGCGGUGUUCCGCCGGUCUUCUGACCGGUCCACUCGCCGCCGGCAGGCCAGCAUCAUCUGGGCGCGCCGGACAAAGGCGUGGGGAAUGUAGCUCCUCGGAGUGUUAUAGCCCCGCGCACAAUACGGCGCCGCCCGGGUGAGGUCCGCGCUUCGGCUAGGAUGCUGGCGUAAUGGUGGCCUGCGGCCCGUCUUGAAACACGGACCAAGGAGUCUAACAUCUAUGCGAGUGUUUGGGUGUCAAACCCCGGCGCGGAAUGAAAGUGAACGGAGGUGGGAAGUGCAAGCUGCACCAUCGACCGAUCCUGAUGUCUUCGGAUGGAUUUGAGUAAGAGCAUAGCUGUUGGGACCCGAAAGAUGGUGAACUAUGCCUGAAUAGGGUGAAGCCAGAGGAAACUCUGGUGGAGGCUCGCAGCGGUUCUGACGUGCAAAUCGAUCGUCAAAUUUGGGUAUAGGGGCGAAAGACUAAUCGAACCAUCUAGUAGCUGGUUCCUGCGAU
rnacentral:rRNA from 1 species